CACGUAGGGUGCGAGCGUUGUCCAGAAUUAUUGGGCGUUAAAGAGCUCGUAGGCGGUGUGUCGCGUCGGCCGUGAAAACCUGCAGCUUAACUGUGGGCGUGCGGUCGAUACGGGCAUCACUGGAGUUCGGCAGGGGAGACUGGAAUUCCUGGGUGUAGCGGUGAAAUGCGCAGAUAUCAGGAGGAACACCGGUGGCGAAGGCGGGUCUCUGGGCCGAUACUGACGCUGGAGGCGCGGAAAGCGUGGGGAGCAAACAGG
rnacentral:rRNA from 1 species